rnacentral:rRNA from 1 species
GACGAACGCUGGCGGCGUGCUUAACACAUGCAAGUCGAACGGAAAGGCCCUGCUUUUGUGGGGUGCUCGAGUGGCGAACGGGUGAGUAACACGUGAGUAACCUGCCCUUGACUUUGGGAUAACUUCAGGAAACUGGGGCUAAUACCGGAUAGGAGCUCCUGCUGCAUGGUGGGGAUUGGAAAGUUUCGGCGGUUGGGGAUGGACUCGCGGCUUAUCAGCUUGUUGGUGGGGUAGUGGCUUACCAAGGCUUUGACGGGUAGCCGGCCUGAGAGGGUGACCGGCCACAUUGGGACUGAGAUACGGCCCAGACUCCUACGGGAGGCAGCAGUGGGGAAUAUUGCACAAUGGGCGGAAGCCUGAUGCAGCAACGCCGCGUGCGGGAUGACGGCCUUCGGGUUGUAAACCGCUUUCGCCUGUGACGAAGCGUGAGUGACGGUAAUGGGUAAAGAAGCACCGGCUAACUACGUGC